CAGACGUUACUUCCAGGAUCUUUUCUUCAGCUGGUGACUGAGAAAUGUGCUUCUGAAGAGUUUGGUCUCACUCCCACGAAGAUGUUUCUCCUCCACUGAUGAAGACUCUCCAGAGUUUCUCUGAGACUGGUGAAGGAGACAUGAGCAGAGUGGG
rfam:Tetraodon nigroviridis, WGS project CAAE01000000 data, contig: CNS0BQS0, chromosome: undetermined